rnacentral:tRNA from 1 species
UCAUUAAGUUUACUUAAAUGCAAGUAUUGGUCUCUUAAACCAAAUUAUAGUAUGUUAGCGAAUACUCUUAAUGAA